rnacentral:lncRNA from 15 species
UGGAGGUUAGUGAGUCCCAGUGGAGGUUGGUUAGUCCCAGUGGAGGUUUAGCUGCAGUGUCACAGUGUGAGAAAUACCACGAGCACUGAUCAUCAGUGAUGAGGAGACUGUAACCUUCCUCACAUCAGGAAUGUCUGAUUUCCAUCAUUUGACCUUUGACUUUAGCUCUUUUACAUUAUGCUGAUAUUCAGACUAAUGUUGUGUCUUACAACGUGUCUGUUGGGGAACAGCUGCACCAAACAAGGGUUACAUAUAAAGUCAUAUAAUUCAUUAGUUAAAACGUUCUAUAUUAAAACAAUAAAACUGAAUCCACAUCAGUCCACUUUGUUGGACAUCUUCAUGCUCUGCUGAUCAGCAGCUGUUUAGCUGUAUUACUCUACUACAGUGGUUGGUUCUCCAAACAUAAGCAGAAAUAACACAACAAACUCAAUAAGGAAAUACUCAAUGAAACAAAGACAAGGUGAGUAUCAGUCCAUCAUGUUCUCAUUAGACAUUUAGUUCAACUGUGGCUCAUAUAAAGUUUCAUCAUUAGCACAUUAUCAGACUACAAACUGUUUACAAUCUGUGAUCACUGAUCAAUAUUUAUUACCUGUAAUCAGAGCUGUGACACCAUGUCCUCUGUUAGGAGAGAGAGGUGAACUUGAAUGUGAUGUGAGCGUACGUUAACAGCUGACUGUGAUCAAUAAUAAUCUGAAUGAUUUAUUGAUGAUCUCUCUGAAGCUCCACCACUUCCUGUACCGGCCCUGUCCUGACUUUCCUCCCAGCAUGCUCUGCACCUGUCUGCGCUCCACCCCCCCACCUGACUCCAGCUGCCCCAGCGAUGGAGUGUUACCACGGUUACUGUUGGAGAAAAACACAGGCGUGUCCGGGUACCUGUGGACCUGUUACCUGAGCUCACAGUACCAUACUGACCCUGCAGUGUCUCUACAGUACCAUACUGACCCUGCAGUGUCUCUGUCUCUACAGUACCAUACUGACCCUGCAGUGUCUCUGUCUCUACAGUACCAUACUGACCCUGCCGUCCAUCAGUACAUCAGUGUAUCAGAGCUCAGUCAGUCUCUACAAUCAGACUGCUGGUCUUCACUGUCUCUGAGCUCUCUGCUGCCUUCUGGUGGAUCCAGUCGGACCAGAUCUCAGAUCAACACAGCACUAGCCUGGUCCUGCAGGACUCUGACCCCCGACCCCCAGAACAACCCCCAGAGUGGACACAGACUCAGGUAA